CCUACGGGUGGCUGCAGUGGGGAAUAUUGGACAAUGGGGGCAACCCUGAUCCAGCCAUGCCGCGUGUGUGAAGAAGGCCCUCGGGUUGUAAAGCACUUUCAGUGAGGAAGAACGCCUGGUGGUUAAUACCCAUCAGGAAAGACAUCACUCACAGAAGAAGCACCGGCUAACUCCGUGCCAGCAGCCGCGGUAAUACGGAGGGUGCGAGCGUUAAUCGGAAUUACUGGGCGUAAGGCGCGCGUAGGUGGCUUGAUAAGCCGGUUGUGAAAGCCCCGGGCUCAACCUGGGAACGGCAUCCGGAACUGUCAAGCUAGAGUGCAGGAGAGGAAGGUAGAAUUCCCGGUGUAGCGGUGAAAUGCGUAGAGAUCGGGAGGAAUACCAGUGGCGAAGGCGGCCUUCUGGACUGACACUGACACUGAGGUGCGAAAGCGUGGGUAGCAAACAGGAUUAGAUACCCUGGUAGUC
rnacentral:rRNA from 1 species